rnacentral:rRNA from 1 species
AACGAACGCUGGCGGCAGGCCUAACACAUGCAAGUCGAGCGAGGACUUCGGUCCUAGCGGCGGACGGGUGAGUAACGCGUGGGAACGUUCCCUUUGCUUCGGAAUAGCCCUGGGACACUGGGAGUAAUACCGGAUGAGCCCUUUGGGGGAAAGAUUUAUCGGCGAAGGAUCGGCCCGCGUUGGAUUAGGUAGUUGGUGGGGUAAUGGCCUACCAAGCCGACGAUCCAUAGCUGGUUUGUGAGAAUGAUCAGCCACACUGGGACUGAGACACGGCCCAGACUCCUACGGGAGGCAGGAGUGGGGAAUCGUAGACAAUGGGGGAAACCAUGAUCGAGCCAUGACGCGUGAGCGAUGAAGGCCUUAGGGUUGUAAAGCGCUUUCAGCUGGGAAGAUAAUGACGGUACCAGCAGAAGAAGCCCCGGCUAACUCCGUG